rnacentral:rRNA from 1 species
GUCGUGAGACAGUUCGGUCCCUAUCUGUUGUGGGCGUUGGAAAUUUGAGAGGAGCUGACUCUAGUACGAGAGGACCGAGUUGGACGAACCUCUGGUGUAUCUGUUGUGGCGCCAGCUGCAUUGCAGAGUAGCUACGUUCGGAUUGGAUAAGUACUGAAAGCAUAUAAGUACGAAGCCGACCUCAAGAUGAGAUUUCCCUUAAGGGUCGUUAAAGAUGAUGACGUUGAUAGGUUGCAAGUGUAAAGGCAGAGAUGU